rnacentral:rRNA from 1 species
GACGAACGCUGGCGGCGUGCCUAAUACAUGCAAGUCGAACGCUUCUUUCCUCCCGAGUGCUUGCACUCAAUUGGAAAGAGGAGUGGCGGACGGGUGAGUAACACGUGGGUAACCUACCCAUCAGAGGGGGAUAACACUUGGAAACAGGUGCUAAUACCGCAUAACAGUUUAUGCCGCAUGGCAUAAGAGUGAAAGGAGCUUUCGGGUGUCGCUGAUGGAUGGACCCGCGGUGCAUUAGCUAGUUGGUGAGGUAACGGCUCACCAAGGCCACGAUGCAUAGCCGACCUGAGAGGGUGAUCGGCCACACUGGGACUGAGACACGGCCCAGACUCCUACGGGAGGCAGCAGUAGGGAAUCUUCGGCAAUGGACGAAAGUCUGACCGAGCAACGCCGCGUGAGUGAAGAAGGUUUUCGGAUCGUAAAACUCUGUUGUUAGAGAAGAACAAGGACGUUAGUAACUGAACGUCCCCUGACGGUAUCUAACCAGAAAGCCACGGCUAACUACGUG